rnacentral:lncRNA from 1 species
CCGGCUUUCCCUUUUCCGGAAUAAUCCCAUAUACAAAACCUUGAGCCUUACACACUUCCAUCAUCUUCAACAUGUACUUCAAUAUCCCAUCUUGCGCCCUCGACAUCUUCUUCCUCCUUGCUUGUUCUUGCGACUGGCGUUGUUUGGCUGUAUCAACCCCGUCCUUUCCCUUACUCUGAUCUUUAAGCCGUUUCAAUCGCAUUUUGUCCCUCCACACCCUCCUCUCAAGUUCAUCAACAUCGACCUCUUCAUCACUAUAAUCGUCAUCAACUAGUGCAUCCAUUUCGACCUGUGAAGCAGCCGUCACAUCCUUUUCCCCGAAAGAAGCACCAAAGAAAUCCAUAUCCCCACAAAUCCCCAUCUCCUCAAACAUCAUCAUCGUUCCAAUAC